UCUGUUAGAAACAAUUUAAAUAUUAUGACGUCAUGAGUUGUAUCAUAGCUGGAGGAUGAACGCUGUGGGCAGAGAGAACAACGAGGAAACCCGUGGGUGGCCUUUCAUUCUCAAAGGCUGGUUUCAGGACUGGAUUCAUGGAAGGUGGAAAUUCAAUCUAAGGGGAUGUCAUGGAGAUGCAAACCCACCGAAGGUCACUACUCAAAGCAGGAAGCAUGGGAAUCCUGGAAUCUUGAAGAGGAAGAGGGAACCUUCCAGACCCAGGCUGCUCUCAUGUGAGGACUCACACGCCCCCCACUCCUCCUGGGAAGGAGAACUUGGCACAGAGGCAGGAGGCUGGGAAGGGCCUCCUUCUGAUCCUUGGCGGGUGGCAGCGCUUCAGGAUAAUCUGAUCUAUUAUCUUUCUUCAGCGAAUACAUGAUUAAAAUGAGUCAGCAGGGAGGUAGAUUAGAGUGUUUAAAGAAAAAUGAUAGGAGAUGUGAAAAUAAAAAAUGAAAACCGUAGAUUUUCA
rnacentral:lncRNA from 1 species